AAUGUCGACUUGGAGGUUGUGCCCUUGAGGCGUGGCUUCCGGAGCUAACGCGUUAAGUCGACCGCCUGGGGAGUACGGCCGCAAGGUUAAAACUCAAAUGAAUUGACGGGGGCCCGCACAAGCGGUGGAGCAUGUGGUUUAAUUCGAUGCAACGCGAAGAACCUUACCUGGUCUUGACAUCCACGGAAGUUUUCAGAGAUGAGAAUGUGCCUUCGGGAACCGUGAGACAGGUGCUGCAUGGCUGUCGUCAGCUCGUGUUGUGAAAUGUUGGGUUAAGUCCCGCAACGAGCGCAACCCUUAUCCUUUGUUGCCAGCGGUCCGGCCGGGAACUCAAAGGAGACUGCCAGUGAUAAACUGGAGGAAGGUGGGGAUGACGU
rnacentral:rRNA from 1 species